rnacentral:rRNA from 1 species
GACGAACGCUGGCGGCGUGCCUAACACAUGCAAGUCGAGCGAGUGAAUCUCCUUCGGGAGUGAAGCUAGCGGCGGACGGGUGAGUAACACGUGGGCAACCUGCCUCAUAGAGGGGAAUAGCCUUUCGAAAGGAAGAUUAAUACCGCAUAAGAUUGUAGCUUCGCAUGAAGUAGCAAUUAAAGGAGCAAUCCGCUAUGAGAUGGGCCCGCGGCGCAUUAGCUAGUUGGUGAGGUAACGGCUCACCAAGGCGACGAUGCGUAGCCGACCUGGGAGGGUGAUCGGCCACAUUGGGACUGGGACACGGCCCAGACUCCUACGGGAGGCAGCAGUGCGGAAUAUUGCACAAUGGGGGAAACCCUGAUGCAGCAACGCCGCGUGAGUGAUGACGGCCUUCGGGUUGUAAAGCUCUGUCUUCAGGGACGAUAAUGACGGUACCUGAGGAGGAAGCCACGGCUAACUACGUGCCAGCCGCCGCCGUAA